rnacentral:misc_RNA from 1 species
AUACAUUUUUUAUAGGCAGAUCUACAAGCAGGUAAAUAUGCAGUGAUUCCUGCGUGCUUUUUCAGCCUAUCAUAAGUACUCAACAUCAUCAGGAACAUUUUUUUUUUAAAACUACAUUAACUUUCUUCAAAAUCUAAUUACAAAGAGAAAGCAAGACAAAUGCUCAGUUCAAUUUUUAACAUAAAUAGCAAAUUGCAUAAACGCAGAGUAUGUCAUUUAGUUUCAUCUACAAUGAAUAGAAACUGAUACUAAUCUAAAGAAGAACAAAUCCCAUCUUUCUAAAAGAAAUCUAACCCCUCAUAAAGCUCUCACACCUGCAAAAUCGAACUCAACCAGAAUAAACCACCAAUUACAGAAGAUAACCAUCAUUGCAAUUCAAAAGCUAAUGCACUUAAAUGUGAUAAAUCAAAACCCCAUAACCAUCAAAUCUAAGUCACAAGUCGUCAAUCACUACCAGGGAAGGGAAAAGAAAAGAAAAGGGCAAGAAAGAAAGAACGAAACUACACAAGGCAACAUAAGGCAAUGCACCAAAAUGAAAUCAUCAAUCAAAAUUAACCGAUGAAUGAAUCCAAAUUAUAACAAAACUAGCAUUACAAAUGCAGACUCACAUGAUCAAUCUGCCUUGUAGCUG